rnacentral:rRNA from 1 species
AUGGAAAGGAAAAGGUUUGUGCAGAUGCUUUUGCUGGAUGGGUGCUUCAUACUUGUGAGUAUUGAUGAAAAUGUUGGCACCGGGGUAUCACAUUCCAGAAUUUUGAACCAGGGACCUAACCAAACAGAAGUCGAUGGAAACGUGACGGUAGAAGAGCUGGAACAGAUUAAUGUGGAAAUUAUUCAGGAAACAGGAAGAAAUACCAGAGAGGAGGAUGCAAACCAGCGGACAAGCAUUGGGAACAGUUACGGUGCUGGGGAUUGGUUGAGUGGUCCUGCAUGGCAUGACAUGCUCUGUUUGCUGGAGAACCAGAUACCCUUUUUCGUUAUGGAGAGUAUUUACGAAUUAGUAUCAGAGGUCCUCUUGCGUCAUUAUCCAAUAGCUAUACAAGAGAAUGAUAGAUCCAAACAUUUCCAUCAUCUGCUCCACCUAUGUCACACGUACUUGAGACCUAGUCAGAAAUUCGAUGAGGAGCUUCAGUAUCAGCAGAAGAGAAGUUAUUUUCACGGUCUUCUACGUCGAUGGAAUAUGUCAGGUAAAUCAGUUGACCCUGACAAAAACCUAGAGCUGAUGGAGUGCUUGGAAUCAGGUAAGCUUUGGAAGCGUUGGCGUCGAGCAGAAGAGUACCAUGAAGUGGGGGUUCAGUUCAUACGUAGGGAGUAUGACGGACAAAGUAGGCAUUCUCUGUUGGACAUAAGGUUCAUCAACGGAGUUAUGGAGAUUCCUUGUUUGCCAGUUGGUGAGUCCAGUGAGUCUCUUUUCAAGAACCUUUUAGCACUAGAGCAAACAGACCCCAGGUAUGGCAAUGACAUCAGUGCUUAUGUCACUUUCAUGUCUCAGGUCGUCGCUACGCCUGCUGAUGCCACACUAUUUGUUCAGAGAGGCAUCAUCGUGCAUAUGAUGGAUAGCGAUGAAGAGGUGUCAACUCUAUUCAGUAGACUCACCAAACAAGCGACAUUCGGGUUUGAUUUGAAAUACUACUUAAAAUAUAUAUGUUGGGCGUUGGAGGCCCACUACCAGAGUCGCCUGAAUAGAUGGAUAGCAUGGCUGUGGUUAAAUCACUUCCGAAACCCGUGGUUAGCUUUGGGUGCAUUAGCUGCUGCAGUAGUGCUUGCCUGCACCAUAAUCCAGACUAUAUAUACAGUUUUGCCCUAUGUCAAGCCUCCGUCA